rnacentral:rRNA from 1 species
CAGCAGCCGCGGUAAUACGUAGGGGGCGAGCGUUGUCCGAAGUUACUGGGCGUAAAGCGCGCGUAGGCGGCUUCUUAAGUCUGAGGUGAAAGGUUCAACGCUUAACGUGAACAGUGCCUUGGAUACUGGGGAGCUUGAGUAUGGGAGAGGGCAGUGGAAUGGCUGGUGUAGCGGUGAAAUGCGUAGAUAUCAGUCGGAACACCCAUGGCGAAGGCAGCUGCCUGGCCUAAUACUGACGCUGAGGUGCGAAAGCGUGGGGAGCGAACGGGAUUAGAGACCCCCGUAGUCCCUGUCUCUUAUA